AUUGAACGCUGGCGGCAUGCUUUACACAUGCAAGUCGAACGGUAACAGGGUGCUUGCACCGCUGACGAGUGGCGAACGGGUGAGUAAUGCGUCGGAACGUGCCGAGUAGUGGGGGAUAACGCAGCGAAAGUUGUGCUAAUACCGCAUACGUACUGAGGUAGAAAGUGGGGGACCUUCGGGCCUCACGCUAUUCGAGCGGCCGACGUCUGUUUAGCUAGUAGGUGAGGUAAAGGCUCACCUAGGCGACGAUCAGUACCGGGGAUGAGAGGAUGGACCGGAACACUGGGACUGAGACGCGGCACAGACACCUAGGGGAGGCAGCGGUGGGGAAUUUUGGACGAUGGGCGAAAGCCUGAUCCAGCCAUGCCGCGUGUCUGAAGAAGGCCUUCGGGUUGUAAGCUUCUUUUAUAAGGGAAGAAAAAAGGUCCUUCUAGAUCGUCUGACGGUACCUUAUGAAUAAGCACCGGCUAACUUCGUGCCAGCAGCCGCGGUAA
rnacentral:rRNA from 1 species